rnacentral:rRNA from 1 species
UACCAGCUCUCCGAGUGGUAGGGAUGUUUAUUGGGCUUAAAGCGUCCGUAGCCGGCUUAGCAAGUCUCCUGUUAAAUUCAGCGACCUAAUCGUUGAGCCGCAGGAGAUACUACUAGGCUAGGAGGCGGGAGAGGUCAACGGUACUUCCGGGGUAGGGGUGAAAUCCUAUAAUCCCGGGAGGACCACCAGUGGCGAAGGCUGUUGACUAGAACGCGCUCGACGGUGAGGGACGAAAGCUGGGGGAGCGAACUGGAUUAGAUACCCGGGUAGUCCCAGCUGUAAACGAUGCGAGCUAGGUGUUGGGGUGGCUACGUGCCACUUCAGUGCCGCAGGGAAGCCAUUAAGCUCGCCGCCUGGGGAGUACGGCCGCAAGGCUGAAACUUAAAGGAAUUGGCGGGGGGCGACCACAAGGCGUGAAGCUUGCGGUUC